rnacentral:lncRNA from 1 species
UCUCCCUGACCCCCGCCGUCCACCACCACCUUUUCCUACCCCCACGUCGUCCACUACCUUCUCCCACCCCCCAAGCACAUGGAUGAUGGUGGACGAUGUCGGAGAUGGCUGAAAUCCUAUCAAAUAAGAUCCCAAAAGAUGAAAUCAAGCUUGGAGAUCACAUCUAUUCUUGGAGAAAUGCUUAUCUUUACACUCAUCAUAGUCAUUCCCCCUUUUUUUGGUUUAAUUUUUUGUAUUUAUGUUUGUAUCUAUGUCUAUAUAAGUGGGUGAAAUUUUGAUUUAAUUUUAAUUUUUCAGUCCUUUUAAUAUAGAUUUGUUAGGGAAGUUGAGUGUAAUAGAAAGGAUUUUUUUCUUCUAAUGAUUUUAAGAAAUGUGAUUUUGGAUUGAAUGUUGAUUGAAUGCUGUUGUUGCCGGUGCCAUCAGAGCUUCGAGGCGAUGUCGAUGGAAAAUCCCAUGCUUACAAGCUGCUGCUUAGGUUGGUGGUGAUGAAAAAUCAUUUUUUUAAUACCAGUUCUACCAUUUUUAAGAGUUUCUUGUAAAAAGGUGUCCAAAAAAUCUAUUUUAUCUACCAUUUUAAAGAUUUUUUUUGAAAAUGGGUGUUGAAAAAAUAUGAUUUUUUUGCCAUUUUGGGUAAAAAAAUUUGAUUUGUCUGUCAUUUUUUGUGUGAAAAAUGGUAAUGAAGAUGAUGAAAUGGUGACACCUCUUAUUUCCAAGAAAUUUGAGGUGAAGAUUUUAGUAGGUAAAUUUGAAAAUUGGGUGAAUGAGGUGGUAACUUCUGGUGGUGGUGUUGCAGUGGAGAUUAGGUGGAAAGGUCCACCAAAAAUAGCAUUGAGUUCAUUUAGGAAAACAAUGAAGAGGAAUUGUAUUAGAGAAUAAUUGGUGAAAAAUGGACUAAAUGGUGUUGUUUUGGUUGAGUGUGAUGAAGAAUUUGAGAGUUUGUGAAGCUUGUCUGGUUAUAAAGACAAUUUAUUUCAUCCAUGGGAGAUUGCCUUCAAGACAGAGUUUGAGGUUCAUUGAAUUUGUAUUUGUUAAAUUGUAAUUGAAAAUUUAAGUCAAAUAGAAAAAUAUUUAAGUUAUUUGAAAUGAAUUUUAUGUCCAAUUUGUAAGCAAGUUUAAAAAUGAAGGUUGUUAGAGGUUUUAAAUAGAAAUUGUUAAAAUGGAGGUUUACAAAGAAAAGAAGAAUGAGAAGAGAGAGUAGAAAAAGAAGAAGAAGAAGAAGAAGAAGGAGGGAAAGGGAGAGGAAACAAGAGGAAGGGGUGGUGGUGUUUUUUUUUUUUUUAAUUUAUUUAUUUUAAUAUUUAAUAUUUUUUAUAUAUAAAAAUGACGUGGAAGAUGACAUGACAGCUGAUGUGGGACAGUGUGUUAUACUCACUAAAAAGUGUUUAAAAUAUUGCUUUUUAGUGGGUUCAAGGGUCCAGAUGACAAACAUGUAAGUAGGAGUAUCCACAUUACAAAACAGACACAAUACAAGGGUCCACUGAACCAUUUUGCCAUUUUAUAUCUCUGUUUUGAGAAUUUUUGUGUGUAAAGGUGUUUAGUUGUAUUAUUUUGAUAUUCUAUUAUCGUAUUAUUUUGUUAUAGUCAACAGGUGGUAGAUGAGUGUCGGACGACUUUGAGAAAAUUUUUAUGUAAAGGUUAGAUUAAUUAUAUUAUUUUGAUGUCUCAUCAUCGUAUUGUUUUGUUGCAGUUUACAGGUGUUAGAUGAAUGCCGAUCAGCUUUGAGAAAUUUUUUUGGUAAAG